GACGAACGCUGGCGGCGUGCUUAACACAUGCAAGUCGAACGGAAAGGCCCUGCUUUUGUGGGGUGCUCGAGUGGCGAACGGGUGAGUAACACGUGAGUAACCUGCCCUUGACUUUGGGAUAACUUCAGGAAACUGGGGCUACUACCGGAUAGGAGCCCCUGCUGCAUGGUGGGGGUUGGAAAUUUUCGGCGGUUGGGGAUGGACGCGCGGCUUAUCAGCUUGUUGGUGGGGUAGUGGCUUACCAAGGCUUUGACGGGUAGCCGGCCUGAGAGGGUGACCGGGCACAAUGGGACUGAGAUACGGCCCAGACUCCUACGGGAGGCAGCAGUGGGGAAUAUUGCCCAAUGAGCCGAAGCCUGAUGCAGCAACGCCGCGUGCGGGAUGACGGCCUUCGGGGUGUAAACCGCUUUCGCCUGUGACGAAGCGUGAGUGACGGUAAUGGGUAAAGAAGCACCGGCUAACUACGUG
rnacentral:rRNA from 1 species